rnacentral:rRNA from 1 species
GAUGAACGCUGGCGGCGUGCCUAAUACAUGCAAGUCGAGCGAACAGACGAGGAGCUUGCUCCUCUGACGUUAGCGGCGGACGGGUGAGUAACACGUGGAUAACCUACCUAUAAGACUGGGAUAACUUCGGGAAACCGGAGCUAAUACCGUAUAAUAUAUUGAACCGCAUGGUUCAAUAGUGAAAGACGGUUUUGCUGUCACUUAUAGAUGGAUCCGCGCCGCAUUAGCUAGUUGGUAAGGUAACGGCUUACCAAGGCAACGAUGCGUAGCCGACCUGAGAGGGUGAUCGGCCACACUGGAACUGAGACACGGUCCAGACUCCUACGGGAGGCAGCAGUAGGGAAUCUUCCGCAAUGGGCGAAAGCCUGACGGAGCAACGCCGCGUGAAUGAUGAAGGUCUUCGGAUCGUAAAACUCUGUUAUUAGGGAAGAACAAAUGUGUAAGUAACUAUGCACGUCUUGACGGUACCUAAUCAGAAAGCCACGGCUAACUACGUG